GACAGAGGGUGCAAACGUUGUUCGGAAUUACUGGGCGUAAAGCGUGUGUAGGCGGCUUGGCAAGUCGGAUGUGAAAGCCCUGGGCUCAACCCAGGAAGUGCACUCGAUACUGCCGAGCUUGAGUAUCGGAGAGGUUGGUGGAAUUCUCGGUGUAGAGGUGAAAUUCGUAGAUAUCGGGAGGAACACCGGUGGCGAAGGCGGCCUUCUGGACAGUGACUGACGCUGAGGCACGAAGGCCAGGGGAGCAAACGGG
rnacentral:rRNA from 1 species